AUGGCCGCACUCUGCCUCACGGCUCCGGCGAUCGCGAGGUGGUCCCCGCCACCGUCCCCCCGGCGGUGGCAGCACCCCCUGUGCCAGGACUGCGCCAGGCGUCGCAGGGGCCUUGCGCGGCGGCGGGCCAGUGGAGACGACGGGCCGGAGGAGGCGGAGGCACCGCCGGUGAGGACCCUCCUGGUUGACAACUACGACAGCUACACCUACAACCUCUUCCAGGAGCUCUCGGUCGUCAAUGGAGUGCCGCCUGUGGUGGUGCGCAACGACGAGUGGGCAUGGGGGGACGUGUACUACUGGGUGUACAAGAAGAGGGCCUUUGACAACAUCGUGAUCUCGCCUGGCCCUGGAUCUCCGGCGUGUCCUGGCGACAUAGGUCUGUGUCUCCGGAUAGUUUCUGAGUGCGGAGAUAUACCCAUCCUGGGUGUCUGCCUUGGCCACCAGGCAUUGGGGUUAGUACAUGGCGCUAAAAUUGUUCACGCUCCUGAAGCUAUACAUGGACGACUUAGUGAAAUUGAACAUAAUGGAAGCUACCUCUUUAAUCAUAUCCCGUCGGGUAUAAACUCUGGAUUCAAGGUAGUGCGCUACCAUUCACUUGUAAUAGAAGCAACCUCACUGCCUGAGGAUCUUGUGUCAAUAGCAUGGUGUGCCUCUCCCAAAAUGCUAUCUUUUGUAGAUAGCGAUCAGGCUGAUAAUUGUCCCUUAUUGGGAUCAUUAAAUAACUUUUCCAUUACACACCCUUCGGAAGUAACUAACAAUAGAGAAGUGCCGCUUACCAUACACAAUCCUGGUAAACCAGAUGGCUACAAGAUAAUCAUGGGUAUCAAGCAUUCUAGCAGGCCUCAUUAUGGAGUGCAGUUUCAUCCAGAGAGUAUUGCUACUCGUUAUGGAAGACAUAUUUUUCAGAACUUCAAGAGGAUAACAACCGAAUAUGGAUCACCGUCAUCUUCGUUUCUGGAAAGAAAGGCUCACAGUGCUGGUCGGAAAAGGUCCGGUCAUGUCCUUGACCGAGCUGACGUGUGGCCGGCCGCCGGCGGUCCAGACCGGACUGGACCGAACCACCUGAGGACAGCUCGGUUAGGGCAUCUCCAACAUUGA
rnacentral:rRNA from 1 species